rnacentral:misc_RNA from 1 species
GAUGAAGAACGCAGCGAAAUGCGAUAAGUAAUGUGAAUUGCAGAAUUCAGUGAAUCAUCGAAUCUUUGAACGCACCUUGCGCUCCUUGGUAUUCCUUGGAGCAUGCCUGUUUGAGUAUCAUGAAAUUCUCAAAGUCAAUCCUUUUUGUUAAUUCAAUUGGUAUUGCUUUGGACUUGGAGGUCUUUGCAGAUGUCACAGUCUGCUCCUCUUAAAUUUAUUAGCUGGAUCUCAGUAUAACACUUGGUUCCACUCGGCGUGAUAAGUAUCAUUCGCUGAGGACACUGUAAAAGGUGGCCAGGAAAUUUACAGAUGAACCGCUUCUAAUAGUCCAUUUACUUGGACAAUUUACUUUAUGAUCUGAUCUCAAAUCAGGUAGGACUACCCGCUGAACUUAAGCAUAUCAAUAAGCGGAGGA